rnacentral:rRNA from 1 species
UGCCGGCGACCGGCGACGGGUGCGUAACGCGUAUGUAACCUAACCUUUGACAGGGGGAUAACAUCGAGAAAUUGGUACUAAUAACCCCAUAACAUCACCCGGAGGCAUCUUCGGUGGUUGAAAACUCAGGUGGUCAGAGAUGGACAUGCGUUGUAUUAGCUAGUUGGUGAGGUAACGGCUCACCAAGGCGACGAUACAUACGGGGGACUGAGAGGUCAAACCCCCCACAUUGGUACUGAGACACGGACCAAACUCCUACGGAAGGCAGCAG